GACGAACGCUGGCGGCGUGCUUAACACAUGCAAGUCGAACGAUGAACCCGGAGCUUGCUCCGGUGGAUUAGUGGCGAGCGGGUGAGUAACACGUGAGUAACCUGCCCUUGACUCUGGGAUAACUGCGGGAAACUGUAGCUAAUACCGGAUACGACCCUCGGCGGCAUCGCCAGGGGGUGGCAAGAAUUUCGGUCAAGGAUGGACUCGCGGCCUAUCAGCUAGUUGGUGAGGUAACGGCUAACCAAGGCGACGACGGGUAGCCGGCCUGAGAGGGUGACCGGCCACACUGGGACUGAGACACGGCCCAGACUCCUACGGGAGGCAGCAGUGGGGAAUAUUGCACAAUGGGCGCAAGCCCGAUGCAGCAACGCCGCGUGAGGGAUGACGGCCUUCGGGUUGUAAACCUCUUUUAGUAGGGAAGAAGCGAAAGUGACGGUACCUGCAGAAAAAGCACCGGCUAACUACGUGCCAGCCGCCGCCGUAA
rnacentral:rRNA from 1 species